AAGCGAUCUCCUGCAUAAUAUCAAGAGAAAACAUUUACCUUGAUUGAUAAGAAUCUGAUCUAGAAAAGAAGACCUUAGCAACAUGUGAUAAAAGUGUGAUUGUAGUUGAGAAACCAGGACAGAGCUCAAGACCAGAAACUGGUCUUGGGUUGGAUGGUGCUUCUACGACUCUUCCCACCUCUAAAUGGAUGCGCCGGUCCUGCUGUCUCGACAGGGAAUCAGGUGAUGCCCAAGUACCUGAAACCUCUUGGUUGCUUUAUAUUUACACAGGACAGCAUCUGUGGUUGGUUUCUUUCCAAUCAUUUACCCAAACAGAGCGUAAAUAUCAAUACAAAUAGCCAGCAUUCUAAUUUAAACGUUAGCAAUUUCAGAGGCACUCUUCCUGGUAUAUUCUUCAAGUGUUACCCAUUUCUCUCUUCAUAAGAAAACGUUAACUAAUGCCUUUUCCGUUUAGAACCUCUCUUCCCACACAUUCCCAUUUGACUUCCAAGUUUCUUGUUUUUAAGCUUUCUUUAUUCUCAAGUCCCUCUCCUACUUCCAUGUGGUUUUAUGGUUGUUUUGUUUUGUUCUGUUUUGCUUUUUUCUUUUUAAGAAAGAGACGGAAGGAGACUGCAUUUAAUUAGGGUUACUGCUUGAGGAAGAGUCAAUGUACCAGGGACUGCGUGCCACUAAGAAUGUAACUCCCCACACCCUUGUGACCUUUGUCUCUCCUAGAGCAGUGGUUGGAGUGUUGGAAGGUCCAGUCCUGUGGAAGUCUGUGCAGGCAGCCACUGCUGCUGUGAAUUCAUGGUGACAAUAGCUAUGACAUGAAUAGAAGACACCAUUUUUCAGCACUCCUUCCCAUAUUCCAGGUCCCUCAUGCUGACUGGUGCUGAAGCUAAGGCCUGGCUGUCUGCUGGUGGCAUUGCUGCUGACUCAUGUUUGUUAUCCCAAUUCUACCGAUCUUGACUACUAGCAUAUCUGUGAAGUGUUUGUGAGUGCAUCGAGCUGCCCCUGUUGAUCUGUGGACUGAACUGCCAAUUCCCAGACAACACAGAUGAGAGUUGCUCCAAAGAGCCUUUCUAAACAGGUCCACUUCCCCUGUAUCUUUUCUUUUCUACUACUUCUGGUGGGUGGUGGAGGUUAAAGCAUAUAAGAACCAUAGUUAAAAGUAGACAUUGAAAAAAUUAAAGUUACACUGGGCUUAAGGAGAGAGCUUCGUUCUACCAUUUUACUCUGGUAACGAUGAGUUGCCAUAGUUAGGGGGUUCAACUGACCACAAACUACUACCACUGCUCUCAAAAGGAAAGUAUAUCUUGCCUCUCUGGCAGUUGAUUUAUCUCCGGUUUGUGUUAUUGUAACUGAAAAUUGACCAACAGGGUACAUUUUGGGAAGUGAGAUGCUCAUGGGGGCGCCUUUCAAAGUUCUGUACUUUGCUGCCUCCUGAUUCCUCACCCCAUCCAAUAACAAACGUUGCAAAGGGCCAAGGGCGAGAGUAAGCAAUGUCUAAGUGAUGGAUGGCUUGGCCUGGUCUUGCUUCUAGCCAAGUCCUUCUAAUUGAUUGAUUUUUAACUCGAUACCACAGUUUUCUAGAGUGGAGAGAAAAAAAAUUCUGUGUCUACACAUUUCCUGGGUAUAUAUGAACAACACAAAGUAGAGGUGGUCUGUAUAAAAACCAAAGAGCUUCGUCCACCCUCUAUAUGAUUCUUUGCAAACACCAGAUUCUAAAAAGGCUAUUAACCUCUUGCCGGUAGACAGAGCUGUUUGCUGGCACCCCAGUGUAAAGACCAGGACUGAAAAGUGCCUUUUGUUGGCUUGUUUUCUCACAACUUAUUUGAAAGAAGAAAAAGAAAAUUGCAUCUGAGAGAGACCUAAGCAGCCAGUGACCCAGUAUUCUCUGGGACAGAGAGAUCGGUUUCCAGAAGGAGCUGCUGAGGGCACUUCCCAGUUUUGCCUUGUCCUUUCUUCAAUCUUCAUAAACCGGGAACUGUGGCUUUGUUAUCUGGGUCAAGAAAAGCCUCCGUAAAUGCUACCUCAAAAUAUACAGAAUAAAAUAAGCCUCGUUUUAAAACUGGUGGAGAGUUAGCUGGUCAUCAGGGGAGUCAGCCAGGGAGGCUGCAAGCAUCAGUCUUUCCAAGUUUUAAAAUUGCACUUUCUAUUUUUGAUGUACAUCUCUGAUGUGUGUUCCCUGCCUUCCUCAGCAGAAUGUCCUAGGUACAAAUUAAACUGUCCCCGGUGAGUGUGGCUGUCAUCCUGGACACCUGCUUUACUCAGCACUGGAACUGAGAUGUCCUCAGAACAAUUCAUCGGGUCAUGCCCUGAUCAGGCCGGUCCCGAAUGACCUUAGAUUCUAUGCCAUCAGGUUUCAUGCUCAACAUGGUAAUCAUUCUGUUUUCCAUCCUGCUUGGUUAAAAAGUAAAAGCUGCUUUUACCAAAUUUAAAACUGUGUUCCAAAGGCCUAGAAUUAAAUUUAGGUGGCAAGUUGCAUCAGCAUACAAAACACUUGCUUCCAAACAGAGGUAUGGGGCUUCCUCCUCUGAGGAAAAGGCCACCUCUUCAGUUGAUAUAAACUGGUCAAUUAUUGUGUGCCCUUGAGCAUCUUUUCUUUCCGUUAGGUUCAUGCCCAUUCCACUAUAGAAUGAAGAGUCUCUUAGUGGUCCUAGGACAAGCACCCAUUCUGGGCAUCACACAUGGACUAACAAAAAGUGUUGGUUCAUGGGCUACACCAGUGGGAGCUUUUGGGAUGCUGCCCAAGAAACUGUGUUUUCACAAUGUCUUCGGAUGUGGCUUAUGCACAUUAUAGUUUGGAGAAUCUUUUUUUUUUCCCAGAGCGUCUGAGACUUGGCAGGAUUUUGACAACAGCCUAUCUGGGCUGUUUCAUGUGCUUCAGGUAAAUGUCAAGCUGUGUUACAAGGAAUGCCUGGGAAAGAAAUCGCCUGGAGAGAGGAGGUAGUGAGCAGCCGCGGCCUACCAUGCUCUCCCACCUCACCAAUGCAGAGGUGCGUGUCUCUUCAGGAGAUGCUAUUUGUCCUCUGUCCACAGUGGCUCCCUCUGACCCUUCAAGCUCCAAUUCCCCGUGGCUUUUCUGCCUAUGCAGACAGAAGCCAUUGCUUUGUUCUGUGCCCUCAAGGCGCUGCUCCUCUGCUGUCAUUUACCACGUAAUCCAUCAGUCUUUCUAUUCGUCUCCCACCCCAGGCACGGGUCAACGCUGUUCAUGUUAACACUGCAUCUAGCUCGAACAUUUGUCGAAAGGAGCUUAAUUAUGCAAUAAACAAAUCUUCAGGCACACGCGGAAAGACAAGGGAGGGAAAAGAUCCAAGACUUUCAGUAGGAGAACAUGACCAUUUUAAAUGAGUUUCUGGUUAUCAGGCUCAAGUGGCAGCCACCAUGCUGGACACAGAUACCUGCAGUCAAUGGCCUGUCUGUGGGAGCUGCUAGCUCUGCGCCAAUUAGAGUCCGGCACAGGCAUUUGUUCACUCGGGAAUCUCAUUGCAGACGGGGUGGGGGGUAGCUCAGAAACUGUCAGGAGCUGUCUCAGCUGCCAGUCACAGUGGGUCUCCAGGGGCCUGUGGACUGCAAGUGCCUUUCACCUCUCCUUGUGUACGAUAACCUCCAGUGGGUUUAGGGCAGAUGGUACAGGGGAGGGAUGCUGAAGAGGAUGUCAGAGAUAGACAGCAUGCAUUUCAAUUCACGACAUAGCCAUAGGAGGAGCCGAGAGACAAGCUACAGUUCCUCCGAACUGCAGCUGCCUCAUAGGAAGGGGACCAGGAUCUCUGUUUCCUUGACACCUAAUUCCGAAUACAACCUGUAAGCCCUUCAUUCCCCAUGGCUCAUACUCUAAAUCCCUUUACUUUGCUCUAGUUUUUCCAUUUAUUAACCUUCUAACAUCUUGUGGUUUUUUUCCCCCAUUUAUUCCCCUCUCUCUGCUAGGAUAAAAGUCAAUAUGAAGGUGGAGAGGGUUAUCUGUUUUGUAUACUGAUAUAUCUUUGAUGCUUAAAAAAUGCAUGGCAUAAAGAAAAUACUAAGUGACUUAUUUUUUUCUUACAUGAAAUAAACUUUCCUUUCUCUCAGUUUCUUGAAAAGCGGGUCCAUCUCACUUUAAUGCUCCAUGUCCAGGUUUAAUUAGAAUAUUUCCCCUCCCCUCCAUUUCCAGAUCCUAAACAGUGGCCCAGCAAAGCCGCAAAGGUUACCUGUUCCUGUGUUCUCGAUGCAGCCAUACUUGGGCAGAGCGCUUAGUUUAAUGACAGCGUCGUCCUGAAGGUUGUCCUGAUCUUCAGUCGCAAAGAAGUGGUGGAGAGAGAGUGGUGCUCUCCCUCCCUCAUCAACCUGAGGAAGAAAGGAGGGCACAAUGGACAACUGCAGGGGUCAGGGCGCAGAACCAGAAACUGUUGCCUGGGGUCACCAUCAGCACCAGUUCCACUUUUGUGGGAGGUAGAUCUCUGCUGAUGAGGAAGGUGUCUGCUGCCAAAGCCGGACUAUCUUUCAGCACCUCACAGAGAUGCGCACACACCUCUGCUGUGCGUCUCCUAUCAAAACUGCACUUCAUGGAAUGACGGAUCUGGUUAUAAAGCAGUUCUGGCUAGUUCUAACCACCCAUCUCAACAUGUUUCAGGAUGGGACAGCUGCCUUCUCGGGGCAUCAGAAUUCCUUAGAGCAUAGCUGGAAAAUGACAGAUGCAGCCCUCCUUCCCGUUCCCUGGGUUGACUGUCCUACAGGCGAUACCGUCUAGAAUAAAAGUCCCAUUUAUCCCCU